GACCAUAGAGCGUUGGAACCACCUGAUCCCAUCCCGAACUCAGCAGUGAAACGAUGCAUCGCCGAUGGUAGUGUGGGGUUUCCCCAUGUGAGAGUAGGUCAUCGUCAAGA
rnacentral:rRNA from 1 species